GUGAACCAGCGGAGGGAUCAU
rnacentral:rRNA from 1 species